rnacentral:rRNA from 1 species
AUUGAACGCUGGCGGCAGGCUUAACACAUGCAAGUCGAGCGCGCGGCGGACGGGUGUGUACUGUCUGGGAAACUGCCCGAUGGAGGGGGAUAACUCUUGGAAACGGUAGCUAAUACCGCAUACCCUCAGAUGUCCCCAGAUGGGAUUAGCUAGUGGGUGGGGUAACGGCUCUCCUAGGCGACGAUCCCUAGCUGGUGUGAGAGGGUGACCAGCCACACGGGAACUGAGACACGGUCCAGACUCCUACGGGAGGCAGCAGUGGGGAAUAUUGCACAAUGGGCGCAAGCCUGAUGCAGCCAUGCCGCGUGUGUGAAGAAGGCCUUCGGGUUGUAAAGCACUUUCAGCGGGGAGGCGUUACCCGCAGAAGAAGCACCGGCUAACUCCGUGCCAGCAGCCGCGGUAAUAC